UACGUAGGGGGCAAGCGUUGUCCGGAAUCAUUGGGCGUAAAGAGCGUGUAGGCGGCCUGGUAAGUCCGCUGUGAAAGUCCAGGGCUCAACCUCGAGCUGUCGGUGGAAACUGUCUGGCUAGAGUCCGGAAGAGGAGAGUGGAAUUCCUGGUGUAGCGGUGAAAUGCGCAGAUAUCAGGAAGAACACCUAUGGCGAAGGCAGCUCUCUGGGACGGUACUGACGCUGAGACGCGAAAGCGUGGGAGCGAACAGG
rnacentral:rRNA from 1 species